UAGGGAAUCUUCCACAAUGGGCGAAAGCCUGAUGGAGCAACGCCGCGUGUGUGAUGAAGGGUUUCGGCUCGUAAAACACUUGUUGUAAGAGAAGAACGACAUUGAGAGUAACUGUUCAAUGUGUGACGGUAUCUUACCAGAAAGGAACGGCUAAAUACGUGCCAG
rnacentral:rRNA from 1 species